CCAACAUAGGUCGGUUGCGGCCCUACAUCACGUCCCUACAAAGUUUCCUUUCGUGUUAUUUGAUGACGUUGAGAGCGAUGACUUACCAAAAUUUAAGAGUAUCGUAGCCAGAAUCGUUGUUAAGUUCCCUAGACGUCAUGACAGCCAACAUUUUAUUCUACAAGACAUCACUGGGUCAAAAAUAGAAGCAAUUUCAUACCGCGAUAAUGUCCAAAGAUUUGACACCUUACUCCAACAAGGAUCUACAUAUACAUUAUAUGGAG